UACGGAGGGUGCAAGCGUUAAUCGGAAUCACUGGGCGUAAAGCGCACGUAGGCUGUUAUGUAAGUCAGGGGUGAAAUCCCACGGCUCAACUGUGGAACUGCCCUUGAUACUGCACGACUUGAAUCCGGGAGAGGGUGGCGGAAUUCCAGGUGUAGGAGUGAAAUCCGUAGAUAUCUGGAGGAACAUCAGUGGCGAAGGCGGCCACCUGGACCGGUAUUGACGCUGAGGUGCGAAAGCGUGGGGAGCAAACAGG
rnacentral:rRNA from 1 species